GUCUUGUUGAUUAUAAUUUCAAGUCUGACCUGCCCAGUGAGGAGUUUAACGGCCGCGGUAUUUUGACCGUGCAAAGGUAGCAUAGUCACUAGUUUUUUAAUUGAAAGCUUGAAUGAAAGGUUUGAUGAAAAAAAGACUGUCUCUGUAAAAAUUUAUUAGAAUUUUAUUUUUAAGUAAAAAAGCUUAAAUUUGGAUAGAAGACGAGAAGACCCUAUAGAGUUUCAUAUUUUAUAAGUAGGAUAGUUUUAGGAUUUUAUAAUUUUGUUAUUUAUAGAAAUAUUUUAUUGGGGUGAUAUAAAAAUUAAAUGAACUUUUUUUAUAUUAAAUACAUUUAUUUAUGGGUGGAUGAUCCUAGAGUGUAGAUUAUAAGAUUAAAUUACCUUAGGGAUAACAGCGUAAUUUUUCUUAGAGUUCUUAUCGAAAGAAAAGGUUGCGACCUCGAUGUUGGAUUAAAAUUAAUUGUUGGUGUAGAAGCUGAUGAGUUAGGUCUGUUCGACCUUUUAAAUUUUACAUGAUCUGAGUUUAAACCGGUGUGAG
rnacentral:rRNA from 1 species